rnacentral:rRNA from 1 species
GGAGUUAGCCGGUGCUUCUUCUGUGAGUGAUGUCCUUCCUGCCGGCUAUUAACCCGCAGGCCUUCUUCCUCACUGAAAGUGCUUUACAACCCGAAGGCCUUCUUCACACACGCGGCAUGGCUGGAUCAGGGUUGCCCCCAUUGUCCAAUAUUCCCCACUGCUGCCUCCCGUAGGAGUCUGGGCCGUGUCUCAGUCCCAGUGUGGCUGAUCAUCCUCUCAGACCAGCUACGGAUCGUCGCCUUGGUGAGCCGUUACCUCACCAACCAGCUAAUCCGACAUAGGCUCAUCCGAUAGCGCGAGGCCCGAAGGUCCCCCGCUUUCCCCCGUAGGGCGUAUGCGGUAUUAGCCUGGGUUUCCCCAGGUUAUCCCCCACUACCGGGCAGAUUCCUAUGCAUUACUCACCCGUCCGCCGCUCGCCACCAGGGAGCAAGCUCCCCGUGCUGCCGCUCGACUUGCAUGUGUUAUGCCUGCCGCCAGCGUUCAAUCUGAGCCAUAAUCAAACUCUGA